rnacentral:rRNA from 1 species
CCCUUAGAUGUCCUGGGCCGCACGCGUGCUACACUGACACCUGCAACGAGUUAUUCCAGCUCCGAAAGGCAGUUGGUAAUCAGAAAUAGGUGUCGUGAUGGGGAUAGACCCUUGGAAUUAUGGAUCUUGAACGAGGAAUGCCUAGUAAGCGCACGUCAUUAGCGUGCGCUGAUUAAGUCCCUGCCCUUUGUACACACCGCCCGUCACUCCUACCGAUUUCGAGUGGUCCGGUGAGCCUUUUGGAGAGUGAGCGUCCUUGAGGCGCUUGCUCGAAGUCAGGCAAAUCUUACUACUUAGAGGAAGGAUAAGUCGUAACA